rnacentral:lncRNA from 1 species
UGACACGAUCAGAACCAGGGUUUGGUCAAGACGGGUAUCCCAAGUGCAACAAGGACCGGAGACCGCCCCCAACACCCAAACCAUCGGCCACCUUACACCCAUGUCGGAUGAAUUCUGAACAUAUAACAAGAUAAGAGAACUUGAAAUUAAAGAUAUUAUGAUGUGUAUAACCAAACCAACCAACACCCAAACCACCCCAAGUCCAUAGUAGUCCAACAAAGCCUCUACCAAAGUGAAUAUUAAUAAUGUGUCGGGACAUGCCCCCGACUAUAUUCAAAAAUAGUGUUCAAUAGUCUAUAACUCAAGAAAACAUAAUCCUGAAAUAGAGCCAUUCGAAGCAUGGAAGCUCACCACUUCAAGUCGACUCUUGAUCAAUCCACAAUCACUGAGCAGGAGAAGUAGAGGUAUGGCCAAAUCCUGCAUCGCGUGGGGAUAAAGCGUCCAAAGACGGUUAGCAGGGUGAACGCUAGCAUAUAACUUGGGGACAAAGAUAAAAUAAUGCCACAAUCAAUAAUUUCAAAUCAUUCAAAUCCAAUGCACACAAUCAAAUGCAUAUACGUAUACUUAUAACAUGUCGGGACCGAAAACAAGGCUUAACAUGCACUUUAAAAUCUUAACAUGAAUUGUGUAGCUCAACCAUGAUAUCAUAGUACCCACGAGUUAUAUGUGCCCCAGUUCUCACCACGGUCGGGCUCUAGUGCGUGUAGCCGCACAAAUCGAAAAAUAAUCUCAUAUAUAUAUGUGCGGGGGACUCGAACCUCCUAACCAUAUACUAAGGUGACUUAAGCACUCGAUUACAUAAUGAUUUACUCGGGACUCAAACCAAUCAUAAUAAUAACAAUAAGGUGGACUCGAACCACUUGGUCACAAGCAAGGGGACUCGAACCCUCACACCAUAAUGACCCCCGCACCGGCUAGCGUGGUUUUCAAUAUUGAUCACUUGGACCUCCACUUUCACGACUCAGCUACACAACCUUCUUUUAAAGCCCAAUUAAAAACAUUUAUCACAUAUUUUUAUUCAUUGAACCAUAUUUCACAUUAAGACAUAUAUUGUUGGUAUCAUCAUACCAACUACACUUGCAAGGUAAUAACAACAUGCCGAGACAAUUUUCAUUAACUUGGGAAGAACAACUCCCUUUGUUCAUUAAUACAAGGUGGGGGAACCCUGACUCUCUUUGUUUAUUAAAUCAGACCAUUGUGUUUCAAAUACCUCUUUCUAUAAUGCAAUAGUUCAAGACUAGUUCAAUUUUAUAAAUUCCCACAUUUCUCAUAAUUAAAAUCCAAUUUCUCAUUAUGGGGUUGGGGUCAUAAUUACUUCAAAAGUCACAAGCUUGAGAAAACCAUAAUUUCCUAGUUCAUUCACCAUACUCAUGCACCCACAAGUUCAAAACCAUAUUUAAAGCAUGAAAAUUAUAUAUAAACCAUGAGAAACAUUGUUCAAUUUAUAAAUAACUAAAAACCCCAACCGUUGUUUCAAAACCAACAUAAACAUCCCAUGAAUAAUACUUUCAAACACAUGCUUUUACAAAAUUAACAAUGAGGGAAGAGUAACAUGCAUGAAAUAGUAAGAUGUACAGAGAGAAAUCACCCUUGAAAGCCCUAAGUGGUCAACCUCUUAAAAACCCUAAGUGUUCUUGACCUUGAGGAUUUAAGAGUAAUUGAGGAGUUACUUUGAUGUGUUUUUUUGGGCUAAUAAUACCCUAAAGAGGUUAUAAGAUGUGUAUUUCAGUUUGGGUAAGAGGAAAAAUAUCCAGAAUGCCCUUAACUUAAAAGUUACAAAAAGUGCCACCUUUGACUACGAGUCAACCCUUGACUCGUAGCCACUCCUUACGACUCGUUACCACGAGUCGUAACCAAGGUAUUACUACCAAGGCACCCUAACUGUUAUCCUUACAACUUAAUGGCACCACCCGUACUGGGACCCUAGGACUCGUAUGGUCCAGUCAUAGUCAAUACAAAACCCAAAUUAGGACUUACACUGGACACCCUAUGAUUACACCUAAUGACUCGUGACAUAUCCUUAUGGCUUUUAGUGAGCCACUCAUACUCAGAGCAAAAUCAAGACACAAACUUACUGAAUUGGUUAUGACUUAUCCCGACGACAUGUCAAGACACCCUAUGACUCAUAGGGUGAGUCGUUACCAAGGUAGUAAGCUUAAGGCUAAUGAAGUUUUCAAGGGCCAAAAGCCAGGGUAUUUCAAUUCUUCCCCACUUGGAUCGUUUGUUCACGAAUGAUGGGUCAAGGCAAUUGCUAUCAUGAUUUGACUCCACAUACCUCUACUCUUACCUUUAACAAAGACAAAAAACAAAGAUACCAACGAAAUCACACUUUCUUUUAACAAAGUAAAAAAACAAAGAUGCUAAGAAAUACACAUACCUUUAGCACGAUUAUCCUGAGCAAAAAACAAGAAUGGAUACUUGGACUUCAUGUUCUCUUCGGCUUCCCACAUAGCUUCCUCCACCGUUUGGUUCAUCUAUAGAACCUUUACCAAAGCCAUGCCCCUUGUUUGCAGCCGACAAAUAUAUCGAUCCAAGAUUUCAACUGGGACUUCUUCAUAAGAUAAAGAAUCUAAAAUACUUCCCUCAUCCAAAGGAAUAACCGUCAAAGGAUCACUUAUGCUCUUUCUCAACAUCGAAAUGUCAAACACUAGAUGAAUGGAGCUCAAACUAGACGGCAACUCUAAUUCAUAUGCAACAUUACCAACCCUCUUCAACACCAAGUAUAGACCGACAUAAUGGGGACUGAGUUUUCCUUUCUUACCAAACCACAUCACUCCCUUCAUGGGGGACACCUUUAAGAAUACCCAAUCACUAACCUUCUUCGGCUCACAUACGCGUAGGACUUUUGGUGACAUUAGGCAGCUUUACGUCUAUCUCAAAUCACUUUCACCUUCUUAAUGGCUUGGUGAACCAAAUCAGGGCCAAAUAUCUCUACCUCAGCAACCUCGAACCACCCAAUAAGAUAUCUACACCUCCUACCAUAUAACGCCUUAAACAAAGACAUGCUAAUACUAGAGUAGUGGCUAUUAUUAUACGCAAACUCAAUAACAGGAAAAUAAUCAACCCAGCUACCACCACAGUCAAUCACACAAGCUCAAAGCAUAUCUUUCAAUGUAUGAAUAGUUCUUUUUGCUUGCCUAUUCAACAAUGGGUGGAAAGUAGUACUAAGGCUCACCUUAAUUCCCAAACUUCUUUGAAAAGAACACCAAAAGUGUGAUAAGAACUAACUACCAUGAUCUGACAUGCUAGCAAUAGGUGCCCCAUACAACUUCACAAUCUCCUGGAGGAACAACUUUGCAUAGUCUUCUGCCGAAAAGUUAGUUUUCACUGGCAAGAAGUGAGCAAACUUAGUCAUCCUAUCCACGAUGACCUAAAUUGAAUCAAAUUGAUUCAGAGAUCAAGGAAUAUUGUUAAUGAAGUCUAUAUUAAUCACUUCCCAGUUCCAUGCAGGCAAUUCAAUUUCUUAAUACAAACUUUCAAGCCGUAAGUGCUCAACCUUUACUUGUUGAAACACCAUACAUUUAGCCAUAAAACUGGCCAUAUCUCACUUCAUAUUGUUCCACUAAUAAAUCUCCUUAAGAUCAUGAUACAUCUUUAUUAAAACAGGAUGAAUGGCAUAAUGCGACUCAUGAGCCUCAACCAAGAUCCUCUAUUGCAACUAAUCUACAUCGGGAAUACAUAAUCUGCCUUGGUACCUCAAGAUACCAUUUCCACCAAUCUCAAAAGCUACAACCUUUUGUUGUGCCACAUCUCCCUUAAUCUUCAUUAAGACAAGAUCCAGUACCUGCAUCUCCUUUAACAAGGGAUGACUUUGCCACCUCUUGCACUAACAUACCACCAUCCUCAGAGUCCAAGAGACAAACUCUAAGGUUAGCUUAAUAGUGAAUAUCUUUCACCAAAUCUCGCUUAUCCUCAUCCACAUGAUCUAGACUCCCCAUGGAUAACCUACUAAGAGCAUCAACAACCAUAUUAAUUUACCUGGGUGGUAGUGGAGACUCAUGUCGUAGUCUUUUAGUAACUCAAGUCACUUUCUCUCUUUGAGAUUCAACUCCUUCUAGGUGAACACAUAUUCCAGGAUCUUAUGAUCAGAAAAGAUAUCUAUAUGGACUUCAUAUAAAUAGUGAUGCCAAAUAUUCAAUGCAAACACCAUAACUAGUAAUUCCAAAUCAUGGGUUGGAUAAUUCUUCUAAUUAACUUUCAACAAUCUAGAGGCAUAAGCAACUACCUUUCCAUGUUGUAUUAACACAUAGCUAAGUCCUAUACGGGAAAGAUCACAAUAAAUCACAAAUCCAUCAUUGGCCUCGGGUAGGGUCAAAACUGAAUCUAAAAUCAACUUAUCUUUCAACUUCUCGAAACUACCCUCACAUAUCAGACCACAAUAACUUUACCUUUUUCUAGGUCAACUUAGUCAGCGGGGUAUCUAUAGUUGAAAAACUCUCCACAAAUCUCCUAUAGUAACCGGCUAAACCAAGAAGCUUUGAAUAUCAGUUGGAGCAUGGGCCUAGGCCACUUUUUAAUACUGCACCUUUCUGCGGAUCCACCAUGAUUCCUUCAUUAAAAAUGACAUGACCCAUAAAAGUAACAACUCUCAACCAGGACUCACACUUUAAAAACCUAACAUACAAAUAUUGAUCCUUCAAGGUUUGCAACACGAUACAAAGAUGAUCGACAUGAUCCGCCUCACUCUUAGAAUACACCAGAAUAUCAUUUAUAAACACAAUAAUAGAUAAACCUAGAAAUUGAUGGAAGACCCUAUUUAUCAAGUCCAUGAAUAUCGUCGGGGAAUUAGUUAAACCAAAGAACAUGACUAUAAACUAAUAAUGACCAUACUGGAUUCAAAUGGCAGUUUUAGGGAUAUCCACCUCCAUAAUCUUUAGCUGAUGAUAACCAAACCUAAGAUCAAUCUUAGAGAAACAUCAAGCAACCUUAAGCUGGUAAAAAAAUCAUCAAUCCAAGGAAGAGGAUACUUAUUCUUCACCAUAACCCUAUUUAAUUGAAGGUAAUCGAUGCACGUCUGAAGGGAAUCAUCCUUCUUACGUACGAACAAAAUAAGAGCACCCCACGAAGACACAUUAGGAUGGAUAAAACCCUUGUCAAGAAGGUCUUUCAAUUGCUCCUUCAACUCAGUCGGAGCUAUUCUAUAAGGAGGGAUAGAGAUAAAAUGAGUGUCCAAAACAAGGUUAAUCCCAAAUCAAUCUCCCUAUCAAGAAGGACACCAGGAAGAUCAUCGGAAAAAAUCUCGGGGAAAUCAUUAACCAUAGGAAUGGAUUGUAAGAAAGGACCCUCCGAGUUAGAAUCUUUAACCCAGACCAAAUGAUAAAGACAUCCCUUGGGAAUCAACUUUUGGGCUCUAAGAUAUGAUAUGAAUCUCUCCUUAGGCAUGAGAGAACCCUCUUCCCACUUAAUGACUGGCUCAUUAGAGAAUUUAAACAUAACCUUAUGGGUUCAACAAUCAAAGAAGGCAUAGAAUGAGUGUAACCAGUCCAUCCCCAAUAUGAUAUAAAAAUAAACCAUGUCUAACUCUAUCAGAUAUACCAGAGUUUCUCUGCCACUAUCAGAUACCACAUAACCCCUAUAGAUUCUUCUAGCAACCACAGAGUCACCUACUAGGGUAGAAAUAAAAAGGGAUCAGGGAUACACUCGGGACUAAAACCAAAAUAUAUAGCCAUAAAUGGGGUCACAUAACAAAGAGUAGACCCCGGAUCAAUCAAGAAAUACAUUUCAUGAGAAAAGAGUCGUAACAUACUAGUGACGUCAUUGGGAGAUACCUCAGAGUCCUGGCGGGUAGCAAGGGCAUACAAGUGAUUUCGUCUAGUACCGGUAAUAAAAACAAAAGCAACACCCUUUGGUGCAGGAGCUGGUAAAGUGGCAACAUGAAUCUUAUUUGCCACAAAAGCAACCUUAGAAGGGCAAUUCCAAUGCAAAUAACUAAUCUGACCAUAUUUAAAACACCUGUUCCUCUCCUCUUCACAAAAACCACGAUGCACCUGUCCGUAAAAUAUACAAGAAGGAUAUGAUAGAGUUGACUGAGCCCUACCAACCUAAGAUUGGUCACCAUGUGACCUAAACCCACUAUCAUGAUGAGAACGAUAAUCACCUGACGGCUUCGGAUAAGGGGCACUACCUGUAGAGUAGGAACCAGAAAUCUUCCACUUUUUUAGACCACUUUUCACCAUCUCAACCAUUCUACUAUUGAACUCCACCCUAAUAAGAAAAUCUAAACUUUUUACCCUGUCUCUCCUCUAUCUCUACCUGCUUCUUCUUCUCUUUCUCAACCUGUUGCAUAUACACAAUCAACCUAGAGACAUCUUUUUGUUCAACAAGGCAGCCUUAAUGUAAGACCCCACAAAAUCCUAAGCUUAACUCAGUUUUUUAAGCUUGCUAAGGGAUUCCAGACUUAGAAAAUUCUAGCUAAGUAUUUAGAUUUAGUGUUAUUUGGCCUUCGUAAGUUGUCAACUCUAUUUCACGACCUCUAUGAACUUAAAAUAUUAAUCUUUGGGUUGAUUCAAGAUAAAAAAUAUUAGUAGGUGUUUCCAGACGAGUUUCAUAUUUUUCGAACCUUAUUUGAACCAUAUUUGGGAAUCCAAAAUAGUGUAUCGAUGCGAUCUCGGCGUGGCGCAUCGGCCAUCGCGUUGAUAGAUAUUUUUCUUGGCUCCAGUGGUAAUUUAUAGUGAACCAACAUGGAAUCGAUGCGGUGCGUUGGCUAUCGCGUUGAUGCCAAUGACGCGACAUAUCGGCCUACGCGUCAAUGGUUUAAUUUUUAGUUAAUUAAAAAGCUGCAUCUUUGGGGGUAAUUAGAUCUUUUUCCCACGUCCUUCAGCCCCCAAAACAUAUCAUUAAGCCAUCCAAAAGGAAAAAUAUACUCAUUCUCUCUAGAAUAUGACCUUCUCUGAUGAAGGUUUAGGUUAUAUUCUUGUGAAAAGAGUUUUUAGGAGUUGAAGACUCGACUCACUACAGCUCCAGUUUUGACCCUAUCAGAUGGUUCAGAUGGGUUUGUAGUAUAUUGUGAUUCCUCCAGAGUUGGUUUGGGGUGUGUUUUGAUGCAGAGAGGUAAGGUCAUAGCCUAUGCCUCUAGAUAGCUUAAGCCCCAUAAAAAGAACUAUCCUACUCAUGAUCUUGAGUUAGCAGCAGUUGUUUUUUCCUUAAAGAUUUGGAGGCACUAUUUGUAUAGGGUGCAUGUUGAUGUGCUCACAGACCAUAAGAGCCUUCAGUAUAUAUUCUCUCAGAAAGACCUAAACCUCCGUCAUAGAAGGUGGUUGGAGUUGUUGAAAGACUACGACAUAAGCAUCCUGUAUCAUUCAGGUAAAGCCAAUGUAGUAGCUGAUGCUCUUAGUAGAAUGUCUAUGGGAAGUGUUGUGCAUGUGGAGGAUGGUAAGAAGAAAUUAGUUCAGAAAGUUAAUCAGCUUGCUUGACUAGGUGUUUGAUUAGUCGAUUUGGCAGAAGGUAGUGUUUGGGUGCAGAGUAGUUCAGAUUCAUCCCUGGUUUCUGAGAUAAGAGAAAAGCAGGAUACGGAUCCAAGUCUAGCCAAGUUGAAGGAAUCAGUCAGAGAUUAGAAAGUAGAGAUCUUCUUCCAAGGGGAGAUGAUGUGUUGCGUUGUCAGGGUUGGCUAUGCGUGCCAGGCGUAGAUGACUUGAGACAACUAAUUCUUGCAGAAGCGCAUGGUGUACGAUACUCUAUUCAUCUAGGGGCCACUAAGAUAUACCGUGAUUUACGGGAGAUCUAUUGGUGGAGUGGGAUAAAAAGAGAUAUUACAGAGUUUGUGGCUAAGUGCUCAGAAGCCUAGUAGAUCUAUUGUAGAUCAGAAUCCUAGUAGGUCCAUGCAGGAGUUUAGUAUCCUCACUUGGAAGUGGGAAGAAGUGAACAUGGACUUUGUGACAGGUUUGCCUCGUACUUGUCGCCAACAUGAUUCAGUUCUGGUCAUUGUAGACAGAAUGACCAAAUCAGCUUAUUUCCUACCAGUCUAUACCUCUUACUCAGCCAAGGAUUAUGUGAAACUCUAUAUCAGGGAGUUGGUUAGAUUAAACGGUGUUCCAUUUUCCAUUAUCUUAGAUAGAGGUACCCAGUUCACCUAUUAUUUUUGGAAGGUAUUCCAAAAGGGUCUUGGUACCCGAGUUCACGUCAGUACAACCUUUUAUCCUCAGACAGAUGGUCAAGCAAAAAGGACCAUUUAGACUUUAGAAGAUAUGCUGUGAGCAUGUGCGGUAGACUUUAAAGGUAGUUGAGAUGAUACCUUUGAUUGAAUUCGCAUAUAACAACAGCUAACAUUCUAAUAUUCAGAUGGCUCCAUUUGAGGUGCUUUAUGGGAAGAGGUGUAGAUCUCCCAUUAGUUGGUUUGAAAUAGGUGAGGCCACAGUAGUAGGGCCUGACUUGGUAUUUGAUACUUUAGAGAAAGUCGAAUUGAUCAGAGAAAGGCUUAAGACAGCUCAGAGCCGACAGAAAUCAUAUGCAGAAGUACGCAGAAAAGAUCUCAAGUUUGAGAUUGGUGAUUUGGUGUAUUUGAAAAUCUCUCAUAUCAAAAGAGUGAAGAGGUUUGGAAAAAAGGGGAAAAUCAGUCCCCGAUAUAUCGGUCCUUACCAAAUUCUCAGCCAUUUUGGAAAGGUAGCUUACGAGCUUGAGUUGCCUUCAGACUUAGCUUCAGUGCAUCCAGUAUUCCAUGUCUCCUUUCUUAAGAAAUACAUAGGUGACCCAUCAGUCGUAGUCCCUAUCGAGGGUAUAGAUAUUCAGAAUAGCCUCUCUUAUUAAGAGAUACCAGUCAAAAUCCUUAAUUAUAAGAUUUGCAGACUGAGGAACAAAGAAGUCACUCUAGUCAAAGUACUUUGGCCAAAUAAGUCUGUUGAAGGAGCUACUUGGGAAGAAGAAGCAGACAUUCAGACGAAGUAUCCUCACCUCUUCUCCACAAAUUCAGACUCAGCUCAAGGUAACAAUUUUCCUUUGAAAUUACUCAGUCUCAUGUUCAGAUAUAGCUACUAACUUGGUAUCAAUUAACAUUGCAUACUCAGUCAUGCAUACAUAAAUCAGUUAAGUCAUAUGCUCAUGCAUCAGAUAUGCAUGUACAGUAUAUAAACUCCGCUUAUCAGUAAUCCCAGUCAUGCAAUUAUGAAUCAUGUUCAACUAUGUACUCAUGCAUCAGAUAUGCAUGUUCAAUAUGAUAAUUCAGUACUUCAAAAAUCUCAAUCAUAAAAUUAUGCUUCAGUUGUGCAUGUCCAGUGUCUAAAUUCAGUCUAUCAGUAUUCUCAAUUUAAUUAGUCUCAUUCGAGGAUGAAUGUUCCCAAGGAGGAGAUAUUGUAAGACCCUACAAAAUUCUAAGCGUAACUCAGUCUUUUAAGCUUGCUAAGGGGUCCCAGACUUAGAAAAUUCUAGCUAAGUAUUAGGCUUAAUGUCAUUUUGGCGUUCGUAAGUUGGAAACUCUAUUUCAUGACAUCUAUGACCUUAAAAUGUCAAUCUUUAGGUUGAUUCAUGAUAAAAAAUGUCAUUAGGUGUUUCUGGAUGAGUUUUGUAUUUUUUGGACCUCGUUUGAACCACUUUUGGGAAUCCAAAAUAAUAUAUCAAUGCGAUCUCGGUGCGGUAUGUCAGCCAUCGCAUUGAUCAAUAUUUUUCUUGUCUCCCAGUGGCAAUUCCUACUGAACCAACGAGGACUCAAUGUGGUGCGUUGGCUAUCGCGUCGAUGCCAAUGAUGCAAAGCUUCGGUCUGCGCGUUGAUGAUUCAAUUUUUAGUCAAUUAAAAAGCCGCAUCUUUGGGGGGUAAUUAGGUCUUUUUCCCAUGUCCUUCAUCCCCCAAAACAUAUCAUUAAGCCAUCCAAGAGGCAAAAUAUACUCAUUCUCUAGAAUUUAUCAAGAACAAACCCUAGUUCAUCAUAUUCAAGAUCCAAGACUAAAGUUUUUCACCAUUAUUCUUCAAGAAUUCACCAUUUAAGGUAUGUUACGUGUUCAUCCAAGGGUUCCUUCCACCUUUGGAGUCCAAGAAACUCUUUUAAACUUCAAGUAGUUGGAAUUUAUGAUUUCCAUGAUUGGAAUUAAAGUGUAUUCAUGAUUAUUAUUUGAAUUAGGUUUCUAUUUCAUGAUUUAUUAUACAUUUCACGAGGAAUUGAUUAUUAUGUGUGUAGAUUCGUGUGAAUCCAUGUUAAACCCCCUUGAAAUUGUGAAAUUUGGAAGUGAAUCAUGAUGCUCACUUAUUAUGUGCAUAUAUUAUGCUCACCAAGUGCUUGAUGAAUUGUUCAUGUGAACUACUAAGGGAAUGAAAUGAUGUCAUGCUAGCUUAUGUGCAAGUUAUACCAUGCAAGUGUUUGAUAAAAUGUCUCUAUAGAUACAUUAUGAACAAGUGUGCAUUUUUAUGCUAUGCAAGAUCAUGUGAUGCUUUACUUUUCAUGCUAUCGAGUCCUGGGGGUAUUUAAUACCCAACAAUUUAGCUGUUUACCUAGAGCUAAUGUUAGUUUCAGAAUAAUCUCAGUCAUGUCCCGAUCAGUAGUACUUUCAGUCAGUUACAGGACUCAGUAAAACUCAGUAGACUCAGUAUCAGUUCAGUCCAGUUCAGUAUUCAGUUCAGACCUCAGUAAAUCCAGUCAGUUACAAAAUUCAGUAGUAUUUCAUCAGUCAAUGAAACUCAGUAUUAAUCGAUAUCAGUUCAGUCAAACCUAGCAUGAACUAGAAAAUCAGUCAGUGUCUAUUUAAAUGGGAGUAGGAUUCAGCUCUGAGUUAACCCAGGGAUGGGAGCAUCCCUGCCAGCAGAGGGUUUGACCUUUAAUAGCAAUCCCUGCAUUACAGAACUACAUAGCUAGCGUAGGUUGAGAUAUCUUUCUGCCAGAUAUUAUGAGGGUUGAUACAUCUCAUUUGAGUUUUCCUACCAGUUAGGGUUGACAAAAGAGCUUUCUGUCAGAGAGGGUUAACUCAAAGCUUGUCUUUACCCGUGGCACGAUAUUGAUACCCUUUCAACUGAGAUUACAGGGUGGACCCCAAUCUAUUUAGAAAGGGGCAUGUCGGUUAUAUGAUUACCUCCCACAGUCUCAGUUUUAAAUUCAGUCUCAAUAUACAACUCAAUCCAGUUCUAUAGAUUCAGGACUGUCAGACAUAGUCACUCAGUUUAGUACGGAAAUCAGUAUAGUUCCACAGAAUCAGGACUGUCAGAAAUAGUCAUUCAGUUAUCAGUAGUAUAAUAUCAGUAAUCUCAGAUAUCAAUAAAUUAGUAUUCAGACUCAGUAUCCAGUAUUUUAACGAUCUUAGUUAUAGUUUACGUAUUCAUUAUGUACUCUCAUUCAGUUAUACUCAUGCCAUUCAGUCAGUAUUGUUCGUGCAUAUGAACCCAUACAUUUUAGCCUACCUCACUUAGUAUACUAGUAUAUUCAAAGUACUGACACAUACUUUUCUCUUGCUCUAUGAAAUCUUAUAUCAUAGGUUUAGAUGUACGGGCUUUUGAGCACCCUUAACAGUUCAGAUUUUCAGUAGUCAGAGUUAGUGGUGAGUCCUCAUAGUUUGAGGACACGAUGAUUAUUUUAGUUGUUCAGCUUAUUUUAGUAGUUCGGAGUUAGUUGGAUACUUGUCCUAUCAACUCCAUAAUGCAGACAGUUUAGAGGCUUUUUUAGACUAGAGUAUUUCCAGACAGAUGUAUCAGAUUUGGUAUUAUUAUACCGCAUUCAGUUUAUUACAAUAUUGAACCUUAUGGCAUGUUUUCUACCUAAUUUCUACAUUUUACAAUAUUAUUAUUCAACUAUUGCAGCAAGUACCAAUCAUGGGUUAGCUUGUGGUCCUUUGGGAUUAUGAGCACCAUGUAGCAUUCGAGGUACAGACUUAGGGUGUUACACUUACUCUCUAGAAUUAAAUCACAGGACAACCCAAAAGCAAAUUUCCUCAUUCUCGUCCUCAUGCUAGAUACUAACUUGGGAGCAUAUUGGGACAACUGAUGGAAUUUCAAGGAAUACUCCUUGACCGUCAUCCUACCUUUUUUCAGAUUGACAAACUCUUUUUCUUUCGCCUCUCUCAGCUCUUGAGGAAAAAAAUAGUCUAGAAAAGAACUAGAGAAAUCAUUCCACAGUGCAGAUUCAGAGUCAUCUCCCCUAGACUGUUCCCAUUCCUCAUUCCAUUGGUAUGCUACAUCCUUCAACUGAUAGGCAGCGAAUUCUACACCUUAACAUUCGAAGCAUGCAUAACCCAAAAGAUUUUCUCCAUCCCAUCUAAAAAACCUUGAGGAUCCUCCUCAACCUUAACACCAGUAAAAGUUAGAGGACUCAACCUCAUAAAAUGGACAAGCCUUGUUACCUCAAAAGAUAGAGUAAUAAAAGCAAGACGCUUCGACUAAGAAGCUACCAACUGAGCCAACAAAUGAAUAGACUGAUGAAAUUCUUCAUUCGAUACAAUAGCUUAAGGAGCUCGAGAAGGACUAGAGGGGACCGCUGGAACUCCAGAAGGACAAUCAAGAACUAAGCCCCUAGAUUGGGUUUGUAACUCAUUAGCAGGGCGUGUCCUAUUAGCAUUGUCCUCAACUAGGACAGAGGAGUUUUCUUGAGCUUCAGAUCAUCUUAGUGGCAAGAUCUGAAAAACGAACAAAUGGGAAUUAGAAGAAAUUUCAAGACCUUAGACUCUACAAUCCAAAAUAAGACAACAAGAAAGGAAAACAUUCCUAAAUGCCUCGUAGCCUCACUCUUAUAAGUGUGGCGCGCUAUACACCCAUAAAAUAGACUAUACAUGACACAACUUUAUAGACACCCAAUUGACCAUGGACCUAGGCUCUGAUACCACCAGACAUGACCCAAACUAGGGCCCGAUCGUGACGGGUAUCUUAAGCCCAACAAAGAUCAUAGACCACCCCCAAAACUUGAACCAUCGACCACCUUACAUCCAUGUCAGAUGAAUUUCAAACGUAUAACAAGAUAAGAGCACUUCAAAUUAAGGAUAUUAUGAUGUGUGUAUAACCAAAAAAACCAACAACCAACAAUCAAACCAUCCCAAAUCCACAGUAGUCCAACAAAGCCUCUACAAAAUUGAAUAUCAAUAAAGUGUCGGGACAUGCCUCCGAUUAUAGCCAAAAAUAGUGUCCAAUAGUCUAUAACUCAAAAGAAAACAUAAUCCUAAAAUGGAGCCUUCCAAGGAAUGGAAGCUCACAACUUCAAGUUGACUCUUGAUCAAUCCGCAAUCACUAAGUAAAAAAAGUAGAGGUAUGGCCAAAUCCUACAUCGCGUGGGGAUACAACAUCCAAAGUCGUUUAGCUGGGUGAAUGCUAGCAUGUAACUUAAGGACAAAUAUAAAGUAAUACCAUGAUUAACAAUUUCAAAUCAUUCAAAUCCAAUUCACAUAAUCAAGUGUAUAUACAUAUACUUAUAACAUACCAGGACAGGGAACAGGGAUUACCAUGCACUUUAAAACCUUAACCUAGAUUGUGUAACUCAACCAUCAUAUCACAGUACCCAUGGGCUAUAUGGGCCCUAGUUUUCACCCCCUAGUUGGGUCCCAAUAUGUGUAGCCACAUGAAAUGAAGAAUAAUCUCAUAUAUAUGCAUGGGAGACUUAAACCUCCCAACGAUAAACUAAGGUGACUUAAGCACCCAAUCAUGUAAUGAUUUACAAGGGACUCGAACCCUCCAAUCAUAAUAAUAACAAUAAGAUAAACUUUAACCACCUAGUCACGAGCAAGGGGACUCGAACCCUCAUGCCAUAACGACCCCUGCACUGACUAGUGCAAUUUUUAGUAUGGGUCACUUGGACCUCCACUUUCAUGACUCAGGUACACAACCCUCUUUUAAAGCCUAAUUAAAAGCAUUUAGCACAUAUUCCCCAUUACUGAAUCAUAUUUCAUAUUAAGGCAUACAUUGUUGGUAUCAUCGUGUCAACUACACUUGCAAGGUAAUAACAAUAUGCCAAGACAAUUUCCAUUAAAUUGGGAAGAACAAAUCCAUUUAUUCAUCAAUACAAAGGUGGGGAACAUUGACUCUCUUUGUUCAUUAAAUCAGACCAUUAUGUUUUAAAUACCUCUUUAUCAUGCAAUAGUUCAAGACUAGUUCAACUUUAGAAAUUCCCAUAUUUCUGAUAAUUAAAAGCCAAUUUCCCAUUAUGAGGUUGGGUUCAUAACCACUUCAAAAGUCACAAGCUUGGGAAAUUACAAUUUCCUAGAUCAUUCACCAUACUCAUGGUCCCACAAGUUCAAAACCAUAUUUAAAGUAUGGAAAUCAAACAUAAACCAUGAGAAACAUUGUUCAAUUCAUAAACAUUCAAUAACCCCAACCUUUAUUUCAAAACAAACAUAAACAUCCCAUGAACAAUACUUUAAAAAAUAUGCUUUUACAAAAUUAACAAUGAGGGAAGAGUAAUAUGCCUAAAAUAGUAAGAUGUACAGAGAGAAAUCACCCUUAAAAGCCCUAAGUGAUCAACCUCUUAAAAAACCUAAGUGUUCGUGACCUUAAGGAUUCAAGAGAAAUUGAAGAGUUACUUUGAUGUGUUUUUGAGGGCUAAUGAUAUCCUAAAGAGGUUAUAAGAUGUGGGUUUCAAUUUGGGUAAGAGGGAAAAUAUCUAGAAUGCCUUUAAUUUAAAAGCUGCAAAAAGUGUCGCCUUUGAAUAUGGGUCAACCCUUGAAUUGUAGUCACUUCCCACGAGUCGUAACUAAGGUAGUACUACCAAGGCACCCUAUAAUAUUAUCCUUAUAACUAAAUGGCACUACUCGUAUUGGGACCCUAUAACUCGUAGGGUCCAGUCGUAGUCAGCACAGAAUCCAAAUUGGGACUUACACUGGACGCCUUAUGAUUACACUUAAUGACUCGUGACAUAUCCUUACGACUCUUAGUAAGUCAUUCGUACUCAGAGCAGAAUCAAGACACAAUAAACUUACUGAUUUGGUUACGACUUUUCUAAUGACUCGUCAGGAUACCCUACGACUCAUAGGGUGAGUCGUUACCAAGGUAGUGAGCUCAAAGCUCAAGAAAUUUUCAAAGACCAAAAUUCGAGGUGCUUUGUGAAAGAAAAUGAAGACAACAUUCAAUAGCAAAAUUUUCUUUCCAAUUUAGAUUUCAUAAAAAAAUCACAAGAAGAUAUGAGUAGGAACUCUGAAAAAUCUAAUAGUUAUCACUCCUUCAAGCAAUAGGAGAAAUUGUAGUUAUAGCAUAGAGAACCAACCAUGUCUUCUUUUAAAUACUCAUAGAAAUGACUUGCAAUUAUAAAAACAAACUCACCUUAAACUAUAUACUCAAUCAAAAUUCUCAGUAACCACAUAACUCUAACAGUAGGAAUUAUACAAUCUUUAGUUUGCUUGGAUAGCCAACCAAAAUAAUAUGGACAAAUUUGCAAUCACGGACACAAUUAUUAAUUGCAUGAUAUUCUUCCAUUGUUUCAAAAAAUUCUCACUAAUUACUCUCAAAAAUUAAAAAAGAAGAAGAAAUUAAACCACCAAAAGACAAAAUCAUAGAUCUUGGCAAAGUUCACAAGAAGCAAAAUACAAACUCAAUUCCAUGAUAUAGAAAAAAGUAGAGCUAGAUUGGACUCCUACUGGUUCUUAAUUUAGUACUUUCAGUUCUAUAAAAUUGGAAACAAGUAGAAAUAGAAACAAGUAAAACUUAAAAAUUCAUACAUACAUAUAUCAAAAUAUGUCAACAAUUCAACAGAAAUUUAACACGAUGUUGAAGAGUGUGAAGUUGUAGAAAUUUUAGAGAUUGCUAAAACUUCUGGGAAAUAUCUAAACCCUACCUGAGUGUCGAUGAAGCAAGAUGCCUAUUGUUAUUCUUCUUCCUACAAAACAAACUCUUAAUAGGUGACCCACUUCUUGCUAGGCACUUCACUCUUGGUGUACCUAAUAACAUUCUUUCAUACCGUCUUGAAUGGAUACAAAUGAUUGAAUACCUAAAUAAAGAGAUAAAAUGAGUAAGGGAUUUGGGCAGAGAUUGAAGCUUCAAACCUCCCAUAUACAAAAUGUGAGAAAGAUUGAAGAGAUUUGAACAGAGAGUUGAACUUAGGGAUUUGGGCAGACCGAGCUUACGAGGAAUCAAUUUUUGAGCUUAUGAGACAAAUAUUUGUGAGUUGAGCUUUUGCACAUUUACUUUAUGAAUUUUUUCUGGCAAAUUAGAUAUUAGGGGGAGAGCUAAAUGUGUUGGAGGGAAUAUAAUAUUUUAGAGAAAAUUU